AGAGAGUCUCCCCAUAAAAAACCAAAUGACACCACCACUUGAGUUGGCUUUCCCUUAAACUCAAAUCAUCCCCUCCCCUCAUCUUAUUACAUUACAUUACCACUGCCAAAAGUAGGUGAAAAGCAACCACUAUCACCUAAUCUCACAUCCAUACUUCUUUUCUUCAUCAAUUUCAAACCCUAGAUCCCAUCCACCUGCGUUUUUCGAUCUGGGUCUCCCCUAAUUUGGAUGAUUAUCGAUACCCACUUCACAAAAUGUCUGAUUUCUUUACUUUCAAUGGUUUUUAAGAAUGUCUGCUUCCUUGGCGCCGUUCGAGCGGCCCCGAAUUGGACCUUCAAAUACGGUUUUUAAAAGCGGGCCGCUCUUCAUAUCUUCGAAAGGUUUAUUACGG
rnacentral:lncRNA from 1 species